UACGUAGGGGGCAAGCGUUGUCCGGAAUCACUGGGCGUAAAGCGCGCGCAGGCGGCUGUCUACGUCCGGGGUGAAAGCCCAGAGCUCAACCUGGGAAUGGCCGUUGAAACUGGCGAACUGGAGUGUGGCAGAGGGGGGUGGAAUUCCGCGUGUAGCAGUGAAAUGCGUAGAGAUGCGGAGGAACACCGGUGGCGAAGGCGGCGUUCUGGACUGCAUCUGACACUGAAAGACGAAAGCCAGGGGAGCAAACGGG
rnacentral:rRNA from 1 species